rnacentral:rRNA from 1 species
AACGAACGCUGGCGGCAUGCCUAACACAUGCAAGUCGAACGAAGCCUUCGGGCUUAGUGGCGCACGGGUGCGUAACGCGUGGGAAUCUGCCCUUGGGUUCGGAAUAACAGUUAGAAAUGACUGCUAAUACCGGAUGAUGUCUUCGGACCAAAGAUUUAUCGCCCAAGGAUGAGCCCGCGUAGGAUUAGGUAGUUGGUGGGGUAAUGGCCCACCAAGCCGACGGUCCUUAGCUGGUCUGAGAGGAUGAUCAGCCACACUGGGACUGAGACACGGCCCAGACUCCUACGGGAGGCAGCAGUGGGGAAUAUUGGACAAUGGGCGAAAGCCUGUUCCAGCAAUGCCGCGUGAGUGAUGAAGGCCUUAGGGUUGUAAAGCUCUUUUACCAGGGAUGAUAAUGACAGUACCUGGAGAAUAAGCUCCGGCUAACUCCGUGCCAGCCGCCGCCGUAACAC